AUUGAGCGCUGGCGGCAUGCUUUACACAUGCAAGUCGAACGGCAGCGCGGGCUUCGGCCUGGCGGCGAGUGGCGAACGGGUGAGUAAUACAUCGGAACGUGCCCAGUAGUGGGGGAUAGCUCGGCGAAAGCCGGAUUAAUACCGCAUACGACCUGAGGGUGAAAGCGGGGGAUCUUCGGGCCUCGCGCUAUUGGAGCGGCCGAUGGCAGAUUAGCUAGUUGGUGGGGUAAAGGCCUACCAAGGCGACGAUCUGUAGCUGGUCUGAGAGGACGACCAGCCACACUGGGACUGAGACACGGCCCAGACUCCUACGGGAGGCAGCAGUGGGGAAUUUUGGACAAUGGGCGAAAGCCUGAUCCAGCAAUGCCGCGUGUGUGAUGAAGGCCUUCGGGUUGUAAAGCACUUUUGGCGGGAACGAAAAGGACUGUGCCAAUACCACGGUUCGAUGACGGUACCCGCAGAAUAAGCACCGGCUAACUACGUG
rnacentral:rRNA from 1 species